rnacentral:rRNA from 1 species
AAUACGGGGCAUAUGUCUUGUAAUUGGAAUGAUGCCGACUUAAACCCUCGGCAGAGUACCAAUUGGAGGGCAAGUCUGGUGCCAGCAGCCGCGGUAAUUCCAGCUCCAAUAGCGUAUAUUAAACUUGUUGCAGUUAAAAAGCUCGUAGUUGAAUUUGAGCUUGCGCGAUUCCGUUAUUGGAGUAUUGCGCUUGCUUUUUUGUUACUUUGAGAAAAUUAGAGUGUUUCAAGCAGACUUUUGUCUUGAAUACUUCAGCAUGGAAUAAUAGAGUAGGACCUUGGUUCUAUUUUGUUGGUUUUUGAGCCUUGGUAAUGGUUAAUAGGAACGGUUGGGGGCAUUCGUAUUUAA